rnacentral:rRNA from 1 species
ACGGAAGGCAGCAGUGGGGAAUAUUGCACAAUGGGGGAAACCCUGAUGCAGCGACGCCGCGUGGAGGAAGAAGGUCUUCGGAUUGUAAACUCCUGUUGUUAGGGACGAUAAUGACGGUACCUAACAAGGAAGCCACGGCUAACUACGUGCCAGCAGCCGCGGUAAAACGUAGGUGGCAAGCGUUGUCCGGAAUUACUGGGUGUAAAGGGAGCGCAGGCGGACCGACAAGUUGGAAGUGAAACCCACGGGCUCAACCUGUGGCCUGCUUCCAAAACUGUCGGUCUUGAGUAGUGUAGAGGUAGGCGGAAUUCCCGGUGUAGCGGUGGAAUGCGUAGAUAUCGGGAGGAACACCAGUGGCGAAGGCGGCCUACUGGGCACCAACUGACGCUGAGGCUCGAAAGUAUGGGUAGCAAACAGGAUUAGAUACCCUGGUA